AGAAAAAACCUUCAUAAACAUACACAAAAUUUUUUCUUGUGGAAAUUUAAGAAUGAAGAUGUAGAGAAAGAAGUUAAGGAAGAAAUUGACCCCAACGAAGAGGAAAGUGCCAAGAAAAAGCAUUUGAAUAAGAAGAGAAAAUUGAAGGAGAUGUUUGAUGCAGAACAUGAUGAAGGAGAAAGCACAUAUUUUGAUGAUCUUAACGGAGAAAUGCAGAAACAAGCACAGCUGAAUCGUGCAGAAUUUGAAGAUCAAGAUGAUCAAGCCAGAGUUCAGUAUGAGGGUUUUCCAUCUGGGAUGUAUGUCUGCACUGAGAUUGACAAUGUUCUCUGUGAAUCUGUGCAUAUCUUUGACCCUCAUUACCCCAUUAUCCUGGGUGGCUUGGGCAACAGUGAAGGCAAUGUUGGAUACAUGCAGAUGCAUCUGAAGAAACAUCGCUGGUAUAAGAAAAUCCUCAAGCCUCAAGAUCCAAUCAUAUUUUCUGUAGGGUGAAGGAGGUUUCAGACCAUCCCACUCUAUUAUAUCGAAGACCACAAUGGAAGACAAAGGCUUCUAAAGUAAACCACACAGCACAUGCAUUGCAGAGCAGCCUUUUGGGGCCCUAUCACUUCACAGGGAACUGGCUUCUUGGCAAUAGUCUGUCAGUGGCAUAAUGCCUGAUUUUUGGAUAGCUGCCACAGGAAUUGUCUUUGAUCUGGAUAAAUCCAUAAAAAUUGUGAAGAAAUUGAAGCUAACUGGUUUUCCAUAUAAAAUUUUCAAGAACACUUCAUUUAUUAAGGGAAUGUUUAAUUCUGCCUCAGAAGUGGCCAAAUUUGAAGGUAUUGUGAUUCAAACUGUCAGCGAGAUAAGGCAGCAGAUCAAGAAAGCACUCCGGGCUCCAGAAGGAGCCUUCCAGGCCAGCUUUGAGCAUAAGCUGCUGAUGAACAAUACUGUCUUCAUGCAAACUUCGUAUCCUGUUUCCAUCCCAGCCUUCUAUAACCCAGUAACAUCUUUGUUGAAACCAGUGGGUGAGAAAGACACCUGGUCAGGAAUGCGGACCACAGGACAACUCAGGCUCACCCACGGCAUCAGACUAAAGGUGAACAAGGACUCUGUAUAAAGUACCCGUGGUAUGUGUGUUAGUGGAGAUGCAGCCUGUGCUCUGCAGACAGGGAGUCACACAGACACUUCUAUAAUUUCUUAAGUGCUCUGAAUGUUCAAGUAGAAAGUCUAACAUUAAAUUUGAUUGAACAAUUGUA